GGGGUCCUACGGGAGGCAGCAGUGGGGAAUAUUGGACAAUGGGGGGAACCCUGAUCCAGCGACGCCGCGUGAGUGAAGAAGUAUUUCGGUAUGUAAAGCUCUAUCAGCCGGGAAGAAAGAAAUGACGGUACCUGACUAAGAAGCCCCGGCUAGCUACGUGCCAGCAGCCGCGGUAAUACGUAGGGGGCAAGCGUUAUCCGGAUUUACUGGGUGUAAAGGGAGUCUAGACGGCGAUGCAAGUCUGAAG
rnacentral:rRNA from 1 species